UGAAGUACAAUACAUGUACUGUAUUACUUACGAGCUCACAUAAAGACAUUACUGCUAAUUCUAUACACUACUGAUAUUCUAGCUAUACUAUACUACUUACCAGAGUCACACAGUGAGCCCUCUCCUGGUCUUUCACCGCCCUGGUCCAUAGCGCUAGCGUCUAGGUGCAUAUCCUCAGUCCCAAACAGCGUCUGGCAUACUCACUGGUGUUAAGGAUGGCUCAGCCACAUGGUGCACAGGGCAUCAUAUCUUUAUGAUUGUGAUGUAUUAAUGGAUGAAAUUUAGUAGGAAUGUAGUUUUGUACGAAAUGACGGUGAUUUGAUGGGUAUGCUGUUUUUGACAACUUUAUUCAAUCCAUGAAACUAACAGUAAAAUAAUAUUAAUUUUUGGCCUGAUAAUGAUUGCAGCAGGUAAAAAUGUAUGGCCUAAAUUUAAUAUCAUGUGAGCACUGAUAUCAUGUGAGCACUGAACAAGUUAACAUAAGAAAAUUUGGAUCAUGUCUGGUGGAUCUUGCAGACACCCCUCCAUAAAGCAAGAGAAGACCAUUGAGUUCUCAUUAAAGUCUUAGACUCUGUUGGUCAGUGCAGCAGUUGCUAUGCGCAUGCGCAGUUACUAGUUGCUCCAGAACUGAGAGUCUAAAAAUUAAAGCAGGGAAACUUCAGAGGAUACCAUGUACGCCACUACUAUGUAUACCAGGGAACAAAGGCUCAAAGAGGAUGAAACAGAGGAUGGUGUCAUGACCAGGAUAGCAAGUGCUGCAGCCUAGGAUUCUACUAGAGAGACUUGAGUCAAAGUAGUCUGAAAUAAGGAGGGACCAAGAGUGGCUUCUUAUAUAUACCUACCUGUUUAUUAGUGUUCUGUGUGUGUUGGUGUAUCUCUACAAUAAUUAUACACAUGCAGUCUCAUAAUAAUUAUGUUUAUACAGGUAACUGUUAUUCCUCAUGAAUGCAAAUCAAUAGAAAUUUUUUAUAUGCACAUAGGGCUCGAAAUAUUGGUUGUCAGAGAUAACGAAAAGAACGAUCCUUCUACGUGUACACUGGGAGAGGAAAAAGAGACAGGAAGAUAUUAUGUUAUGUUAUGGCAUACAAAUGUUCGUGGCCAUAGCAUGUACGUUUUAAGUUUCAUUUGAUGGAUAUGUAAAUUUUCACUCACUUUAUAACUAUUAUUAAAUUUUAAUGGAUAUUUCACAAUGCUCAA